UGGUAGUGGAUUUCUUGGUCCUUGGAGCGGAUGAAGACCGCCGCC
rnacentral:rRNA from 10 species